AACGAACGCUGGCGGCAUGCCUAACACAUGCAAGUCGAGCGAGGCCUUCGGGUCUAGUUGCGCACGGGUGCGUAACGCGUGGGAACCUUCCCUUAUGUUCGGAAUAACUCCCCGAAAGGGGUGCUAAUACCGGAUAAUGUCUUCGGACCAACGAUGUAUCUCCUUUGGAUUGGCCCGCGUUGUAUUAGCUAUUUGGUAGGGUAAACGACUACCAAGGCGAAGUUGCAUAGCUGGUCUGAGAGGAUGACCAGCCACACUGGGACUGGGACACGGACCAGACUUUUACGGGAGGAAGAAGGGGGGACUAUGGGACGAUGGGCGAAAGACUGAUGCAGCAAGGCCGCGAGAGUGAGGAAGGACUUAGGGUCGUAAAGCUCUUUUAACCGGGAUGAUAAUGACAGUACCGGGAGAAUAAGCGACGGCUAACUACGUG
rnacentral:rRNA from 1 species